rnacentral:rRNA from 1 species
UCUCCCAAACGGGGGCACGUGCACGCUCUGUUUGUGCAUCCACUCACACCUGUGCACUUUCUGUGGUUCUGUGGCCUGGGGGACUCGUCCUCUGCUGCGGUUCUGCGUCUUUACGAUCACGCCGUGAUAAAGUCUAAUGGAAUGCAUGCCGCGUUUAACGCAAUACAAUACAACUUUCAGCAACGGAUCUCUUGGCUCUCGCAUCGAUGAAGAACGCAGCGAAAUGCGAUAAGUAAUGUGAAUUGCAGAAUUCAGUGAAUCAUCGAAUCUUUGAACGCACCUUGCGCUCCUUGGUAUUCCUUGGAGCAUGCCUGUUUGAGUAUCAUGAAAUUCUCAAAACAAGUCUUUCGUUCAUGCGGCUGACUUUGUUUUGGACUUGGAGGUCUUGCAGAUUCACGUCUGCUCCUCUCAAAAGCAAUUAGCUGGAUCUCGGAGCUCGGUUCCACUCGGCGUGAUAAAUAUCGUUCGCUGAGGACACCCGUAAAAAAGGUGGCCGGGUUUGCGGAUUGAGCCGCUUCUAACCGUCCAUUUGCUUGGACAACAACACUUUAUGAUCUGAUCUCAAAUCAGGUAGGACUACCCGCUGAACUUAAGCAUAUCAAUAAGCGGAGGAAAAGAAACUAACAAGGAUUCCCCUAGUAACGGCGAGUGAAGCGGGAAGAGCUCAAAUUUAAAAUCUGGCAGUGUAUUCUGUCCGAGUUGUAGUCUAGAGAAGCAUCAUCCGUGCUGGACCAUGUACAAGUCUCUUGGAACAGAGCGUCAUAGAGGGUGAGAAUCUCGUCCUUGACAUGGACUCCCAGUACUUUGUGUUGUGCUCUCGACGAGUCGAGUUGUUUGGGAAUGCAGCUCAAAACGGGUGGUAAAUUCCAUCUAAAGCUAAAUAUUGGCGUGAGACCGAUAGCGAACAAGUACCGUGAGGGAAAGAUGAAAAG